rnacentral:rRNA from 1 species
GAUGAACGCUGGCGGCGUGCCUAAUACAUGCAAGUCGAGCGACCAGACGAUGAGCUUGCUCCUUUGCCGUUAGCGGCUGGCGGGUGAGUAACACGUGCAUAACCUACUUAUAUUACUGGGAUAACUUCGUGAAACCGGAUCUAAUACUACAUAAUAUAUUGAACCGCAUGGUUCAAUAGUUAUUGACGGCUUUGCUGUCUGUUAUAGAUGGUUCCGCGUCGCAUUAGCUAGUUGGUAAGGUAACGGCUUACCAAGGCAACGAUGCGUAGCUGAUCUGAGAGGGUGAUCGGCCACACUGGAACUGAGACACGGUCCAGACUCCUACGGGAGGCAGCAGUAGGGAAUAUUGCGCAAUGGGCGAAAGCCUGAUCGAGCCACACCGCGUGAGUGAAGAAGGCCUUCGGAUCGUAAAGCUCUUUUGUUGGGGAAGAAAAACUGUAUAUGUAAACAUGCACGUUUUGACGGUACCCAAUCAAAAAGCAACGGCUAACUACGUG